rnacentral:rRNA from 1 species
UGAGGAAUAUUGGUCAAUGGGCGCGAGCCUGAACCAGCCAAGUCGCGUGAGGGAUGACGGCCCUACGGGUUGUAAACCUCUUUGUCGGAGAACAAAACCCGGGACGUGUCCCGGACUGCGUGUAUCCGAAGAAAAAGCAUCGGCUAACUCCGUGCC